GCCUUUGUGGUGUAGUGGUAGUAGCAUAAGUCCGUAGUAUGGAUGAAACGCGGGUUCGAUUUCUGCCUGAGGCC